rnacentral:lncRNA from 1 species
GAAAAAUAAGUUGAAUAUUUGUUAAAAACUCUCUCAAAUUUCACUAAAGGAAGAGAAAAUCUUGAAACCUUAUUAGGUUCACAGAAUGCUGUUUUCAAUAAAAAUGGUCUAGGAUAUAAUCCUGGAAUGAAAAGUAAUGUGAAAAAGCUGUCUAGUUUCUUUGUUCCUUCCAAAACAGGUUUUUCCUCUCUUAGUUAUUCAAAAACAAUGCAUACUGC